rnacentral:rRNA from 1 species
GACAGAGGUCCCGAGCGUUAGGCGGAAUCACUGGGCUUAAAGCGUGUGUAGGCGGACUUCUAAGUACCUUGUGAAAUCCCACGGCUUAACCGUGGAACGGCUGGGUAUACUGGUUGUCUUGGGCCACUUAGGGGCUACUGGAACAAACGGUGGAGCGGUGAAAUGCGUAGAGAUCAUGAGGAAGACCAGUGGCGAAGGCGGGUCUCUGGACAGUUCCUGACACUGAGACACGAAGGCCAGGGGAGCAAACGGG